rnacentral:rRNA from 1 species
AACGCGAAGAACCUUACCUACCCUUGACAUGGCAGGAAUCCCGGAGAGAUCUGGGAGUGCUCGAAAGAGAACCUGCACACAGGUGCUGCAUGGCUGUCGUCAGCUCGUGUCGUGAGAUGUUGGGUUAAGUCCCGCAACGAGCGCAACCCUUGUCAUUAGUUGCUACGAAAGAGCACUCUAAUGAGACUGCCGGUGACAAACCGGAGGAAGGUGGGGAUGACGUCAAGUCCUCAUGGCCCUUAUGGGUAGGGCUUCACACGUCAUACAAUGGUACAUACAGAGGGCCGCCAACCCGCGAGGGGGAGCUAAUCCCAGAAAGUGUAUCGUAGUCCGGAUUGUAGUCUGCAACUCGACUACAUGAAGUUGGAAUCGCUAGUAAUCGCGGAUCAGCAUGUCGCGGUGAAUACGUUCCCGGGUCUUGUACACACGC